rnacentral:misc_RNA from 1 species
AAGUCGUAACAAGGUUUCCGUAGGUGAACCUGCGGAAGGAUCAUUAAUGGUUUUUUAAGCAAACCUUUUUUUUUAAUAGGUUUUGCGAAUAUAAUUAAAACCCCCACUCUUUAAAAAAAAUUCUUAUUCAUAUUGAAUAAAAAAAAGAUCACUUUCAACAACGGAUCUCUUGGCUCUC